rnacentral:lncRNA from 1 species
AAAACCCUAAUUUCUACAUCCAAACCGAAUCACACAAAAAUACACCAUCACACUUGCCGACAACAAAUUGCUGUUGUUCGUCUUUGUCGUCAUCUUCAUCCCCACUCCACAGCUUGCUGGCUAUUCCCAUUUCCCUUUUAUAGCUUGAACAACUGAUCUUCUUCAAGUUCGAGCCACUGUUACUGACUUCAUUCGGGAGAGGUAAGUGAUUAGUUCUUUUUUUUUUUUUUUUUUGAAGAGACAACAAUCACCACAAAUUUCUCAAAAUCCCCAAAAUUUUGCCAAAAAAAGGAAACAAAUAAAGCCGCUCCAUGGCCUUAUAGGACUGACUUCGAGUUCGUGGACUAACGUGCCAAUGACGCCGCUUUAUGGCCUUCGUGGAAUGAUUCCGUGACACGCGAGUGGCAGCGUGCUAUUUACGUGGAGUCGGAUCGGAGAAGAUUGUACUAUGAGGAGUUGGCGACGUGAGAAAGACAGCGAGUUAGCUACUACGUCUUCGACUUAGGGUAAAAUUUUGGCAGAAUUUGAGCUGAAAUUUAGUGGGUUUUGAGUGGUAAGACGAGGUUUUGAGAGAGGAAAGGAGUGUUUGGCUGGCGAGAAAGUGAGAGAAAUUUUUUGAGUGUGGAGUGAUGGCUUCUCUGUUUUUACUUCUUUAUUGUUCUUUAUUGAGUAGAUGGUGACGAUACAAACUUUUAACAUUGUUUACUUAAUUAAUUAGAUAACAAUCUUACAUGACUGUUUUGAUUUAUCAGAUAAAUCAGUUAGAGAAGAAUGGAGAUGUUGUUGCUCAGGCAUGAGCAAUUACAGCAGUCUAGACACUCUGCCCCGUCUUUCUUUCAAUGUUGUUGGCACACUGAAUAAUUUCCUUAGUGACAAGUUAACCAAAUUUAGAGGUAUAUGUGAUUUUGAUUUGACUUACUCUUAAUGAAAUACAAUUAAGGAAUUUUUCUGU